CGAGUCCCGGGAUCUCAGAGAAGCUUUGGAAAAAUGGAUUGUGUAAGAAACUACCUGCCUCUUCUCAACAAGGUGUUUAUCGAAUUUCAGUCUCUUCGUGAUGCUGAUCGCCUUGGCGUUUGGUACAGCCUUCUAAAACGGGCCACCGGCCACAAAUUGUCAAGGCUGAAAAUACCACACGGUGGAUGUACCUCACUGCCACCAAGAUUGCCAGACAAAGCUUUGCCAGACAGCGAGGUUGCUGUUGAUGGUGCAACUGUCC